UGGUGUCGUUGAGGUUCUAACCCAGAUCUGUGAAUCCAGAUCGGGGACCGUGUAUGGUGGGCAGUUUGACUGGGGCGGUCUCCUCCCAAAGGGUAACGGAGGAGUUCGAAGGUCUCCUAGGUACGGUCGGACAUCGUACUGAUAGUGCAAUGGCAAAAGGAGGCUUGACUGCGAGACAGACAAGUCGAGCAGGUGCGAAAGCAGGACAUAGUGAUCCGGUGGUUCUGAAUGGAAGGGCCAUCGCUCAACGGAUAAAAGGUACUCUGGGGAUAACAGGCUGAUUCCGCCCAAGAGUUCAUAUCGACGGCGGAGUUUGGCACCUCGAUGUCGGCUCAUCACAUCCUGGGGCUGUAGCCGGUCCCAAGGGUAUGGCUGUUCGCCAUUUAAAGUGGUACGUGAGCUGGGUUUAAAACGUCGUGAGACAGUUUGGUCCCUAUCUGCCGUGGGCGCUGGAUAUUUGAGGGGACCUGCUCCUAGUACGAGAGGACCGGAGUGGACGUAUCUCUGGUGUACCGGUUGUGACGCCAGUCGCAUCGCCGGGUAGCUAAA
rnacentral:ncRNA from 1 species